UCCCCACUACACCAGCGAAGACUCGUCAGACUGGUUCUGUUGAGAUCAUCAGUGACUUAUUUCCUCACUUCAAUUCAGCCCACAAAGUCACUGAUAGAGCUGGAUGCACACACUUGGAUGUAGACCUCAAUCUUCGCAGGACUCUUCAUUGCUGGUCGGCAAUGAUGUAUCGGAUAAGCAGGCACAAUCCUAAGAGCUAAGCUACUGUCAAAUACGUAACAUAUGCCAAAACAGAUAUAUAGACCAAUGGAACAGAACAGAGGCCUCAGAAAUAAUGCCACACAUCUGCAACCAUCUGAUCUUUGACAAACCUUACAAAAACAAGCAAUGAGGAAAGGAUUCCCUAUUUAAUACACGGUGUUGAGAAAACUGGCUAGUCAUAUGCAGAAAACUGAAAGUGGACCUCUUCCUUACACCUUAUACAAAAAUUAACUCAAGAUGGAUUAGAGACUUAAACAUAAGGCCUAAAACCAUAAAAACCCUAGAAGAAAACCCGGGCAAUACCCUUCAGGACAUAGGCAUGGGCAAAGACUUCAUGACUAAAAUGCCAAAAGCAAUGGCAACAAAAGCCAAAAUUGACAAAUGGGAUCUAAUUAAACUAAAGAGCCUCUGCACAGCAAAAGAAACUAUCAUCAGAGUGAACAGGCAACCGGAAGAAUGGGAGAAAAUUUUUGCAAUCUGUUUAUCUGAGAAAGGGCUAAUAUGCAGAAUCUACAAAGAACUUAAAUUUACAAGAAAAAAACAAGCCCAUAAAAAUGUAGGCAAAGGAUAUGAACAGACACUUCUCAAAAGAAGACAUUUAUGCAGCCAACAAACAUGAAAAAAAGCUCAUCAUCACUGGUCAUUAGAGAAAUGCAAAUCAAAACCACAAUGAGAUACCAUCUCAUGCCAGUUAGAAUGGCGAUCAUUAAAAAGUCAGGAAACAACAGAUGCUGGAGAGGAUGUGGAGAAAUAGGAACAUUUUUACACUGUUGGUUGGAGUGUAAAUUAGUUCAACAAUUGUGGAAGACAGUGUGGCGAUUCCUCAGGGAUCUAGAACCAGAAAUACUGUUUGACCCAGCGAUCCCAUUACUGAGUAUAUACCCGAAGGAAUAUAAAUCAUGCUGCUUUAAAGACACACGCACACGUAUGUUUAUUGCGGCACUAUUCACAAUAGCAAAGACUUGGAACCAACCUAAAUGCCCAUCAGUGAUGUCUGUUAUACGCAUCUCCUUUCUUCUUCAAUGAUAGACUGGAUAAAGAAAAUGUGGCAUACAUACACCAGGGAAUACUAUGCAGCCAUAAAAAAGGAUGAGUUCAUGUUCUUUGCAGGGACACGAAUGAAGCUGGAAACCAUCAUUCUCAGCAAACUAACACAAGAACAGAAAACCAAGCACUGCAUGUUCUCACUCAUGAGUGGGAGUUAAACAAU